CGGGAAACCGGAGCUAAUACGGAUAAUAUAUUGAACCGCAUGGUUCAAUAGUGAAAGACGGUUUUGCUGUCACUUAUAGAUGGAUCCGCGCUGCAUUAGCUAGUUGGUAAGGUAACGGCUUACCAAGGCAACGAUGCGUAGCCGACCUGAGAGGGUGAUCGGCCACACUGGAACUGAGACACGGUCCAGACUCCUACGGGAGGCAGCAGUU
rnacentral:rRNA from 1 species